AGGUAUGUUGCUUUGUAAGUUGUAGUUUUGCAAAAACUAUAUAGAAUAUUUUAUUCCAUACCUU
rnacentral:tRNA from 1 species